rnacentral:rRNA from 1 species
AUUGAACGCUGGCGGCAGGCUUAACACAUGCAAGUCGAGCGAGCGGAGGACGGGUGAGUAAUGGCUGGGAAACUGGCUGAUGGAGGGGGAUAACUACUGUAAACGGUAGCUAAUACCGCAUAACAUCAGAUGUGCCCAGAUGGGAUUAGCUAGUAGGUGGGGUAAUGGCUCACCGAGGCGAAGAUCCCUAGCUGGUCUGAGAGGAUGACCAGCCACACUGGAACUGAGACACGGUCCAGACUCCUACGGGAGGCAGCAGUGGGGAAUAUGCCACAAUGGGCGCAAGCCUGAUCCAGCCAUGCCGCGUGUGUGAAGAAGGCCUUCGGGUUGUAAAGCACUUUUAGCGAGGAGGCGUUACUCGCAGAAGAAGCACCGGCUAACUACGUGCCAGCCGCCGCGGUAAUUC